UAGGGAACCUGCCCAUGCGGCCGGGACAACUUCCGGAAACGGAUGCUGACACCGGAUAAGGAAAGCGAAGGCAUCUUUGCUUUGUUAAAGGAGCUGCAAGGCUCCGCGCAUGGAUGGACCUGCGGUGCAUUAGCUGGUUGGUGAGGUAAAGGCUCACCAAGGCGACGAUGCAUAGCCGGCCUGAGAGGGCGAACGGCCACACUGGGACUGAGACACGGCCCAGACUCCUACGGAAGGCAGCAG
rnacentral:rRNA from 1 species